AAUUUUGAGGUUUCAACAUGACAAAAAUAAGCUAAGAGCAUACUUCGCGCCAUUUUUUCAACAAUUCAAAAUUCCCAAAAAAGUGAAAUUUGAAAGUAAUAUUAGUUCCAUCACUAUAAUCUACCUCAUAAUUAGCAAAUGUAACCAAAAUGAGCAAGAAAAAGCAAUAAAAUCGAGCAAAAUUUGAAGAAAAAGAGCAAGAACGAACUUGAACAAAGAAAUGCCAUCUCUCUAGGUCGGAUAAGCUUUCUAGAAGAAUAUCGAACUAUUGAGGCUUGUGAAAAGCUUUGUGACAAUACUCACUCUUGUCUUGGUCCUAAUGAUUAACAGGGAAGAUGGAGAACUUGAAUUAAAACUAAAGUGAUAAGUAAAGUGACAUUUUCCGCUCUUUAGGACCUUUUAAACAGCAGCAUCAAAAUUUGUAGCAGUUGAGUUUAUAAAUCUGACCAUCAUGUCGCAGAGCUCUUUCAAGCUUCAACAUUUUCUUGAAAAUCAGUUGUCGGGGAAUCUCAGCCAUUUUCCGUUUGUUUCCCCCUAAUUUUUCUUCUCACUUUGGCUUCCAUUUUCUGUUGCCAUUUUUGCCAACACCUCUACCGUCUACUGUCACAACCUCUCAGGCUUAAUUUUCCCCUAACGGCUUGCUGAGGUUAUUUGGUUCAUUUCUCAUCCCCCUUUUUUUUUUUCUAAUUCUAGAAUAAUGAUGCUGAAUGAAUAGUGGGUUCUAUGAAUUUGUUUUGGGGUGUCUUGAGUGAUUUUGAUAUUGUCUCUCAGGAAUUUGUCUUGAAUUGUUGUGCCUUGCUUCUUACUUGUGAUGCAGUUUGCUGGGUUAUGCUUUCCCAAUCAAGGGAUGGCAACUUCAUGUGAUAUGCCUAUUUCUGUUUUGAAAUUUGACACCUCUCUAAAAUGAUAUAUAGAAGGGGAAAGGUACCAGUAUAGAGGAACAUUAUCAAGUUAUUGUUAUGGGGUGCAGCUGUCUGGGACAUUAUUUCUCAAGGUAGUGCUUUUUGGUCAGAUAGAUUUUGCAAAUAGUUAGCUUGAAUAAGAUACUUAGGAAAAAGGUCAAUGACUUUUUCUAUAAUCUAUACUUCUUUCUAAGUAGUGAGCAGCUCAGGUCUUGUUUUGAUGUUUCUAGGGGCAUUAAAAUGUGCAGUUCUCUUUUUUUCAUUACUCUGUACCAUGAUGAUUGGUGUAUUAUUGCCACAAUGUGCAGGUCUUGUUUCAAUGUUUCUAGGGGAAUUAAAAUGUGCAGUUCUCUUUUUUUCAUUACUCUGUACCAUGAUGAUUGGUGUAUUAUUGCCACAAUUGCAGGUCUUGUUUCAAUGUUUCUAGGGGAAUUAAAAUGUGCAGUUCUCUUUUUUUCAUUACUUUGUACCAUGAUGAUUGAUGUAUUUCCACAAUGACACAUUUUCCACAUUGCUAUUUUGGUGGAUUCUUUUUGGGAUAGCAUUUGUCUGAACUUUAUUUUAUAUAAUUAAUAAAGAAAGGAAGGUUUAAGACAAUAUUAUGCUAUCGCAUUUUUCAUGUUAUGACAUGAGCAUGACGCCAUUAGUUUCCAUUGUGAUUUUCAAAAAAAUAUGAAGAUUCUAGGUGGCAGUACUUGAUGGGUGGAAUAUUUCAUUUUGUGUAAAUUUCUUGUUUGUUUUAAUUCCUUUGUGAUAUAUUCAGAGCUUCCUUGUAGCCUUUUUUCCCUUAAAAAAUCAGUGAUUUAUUGGAGGGUUUGAUGUCUCGGGUCAUCUGCCGCUCAGGUUGACGUUCCAACUUUGGUUCCAAUGGAAGGAAUUGAUUCUCUUGGACAAAUUUAAAUACUUAAACGGGUCCUUUAGGUCCGGUUUCAUCAUCAUCUGCUACCCUUAAAGUUUUCAUUACAGUGUAAUGGCAAGAAAUACCCUGUCAAGUUGCGGCCUGAUAUUGGAUACUUUAUAAAGCCCUUAAAAAUGGAUGUUCCAGAAUUUAGAAAUAAGGAAUCACAGUUGCAUGGCAUGUUUGAAUAUGUGAGAAGUGCUUAAGGAGGUAAGAGAGAUGCUCGGAUGAAGUGUGAUUCUACAAGGUGGAAGCCGAGGAUGAAUUCUAUGAAGACAUACCCUGUCAUUUAACGGAUUGGACUGACUGUAUUUAUUUUAUUUUACGUAUCAUAAUCUGUAAUCUUUUGCAAAAUUUCAAUUGUUUUUAGGGAAUAAGUGUCAACAACUUA